rnacentral:lncRNA from 1 species
AUACAACUUCUACUACGUUUCUCUCUCUAAAUUUCCAUCUCAACUGCACCUUACUUUCGUUCAUUUGAGAAUUGCGUUCUGCUCCUCCCUCUCGUUUUCCAAUGGCGAGGGUUUGUGCUAAACGAGAGACAUGUGGACUGUGGAUUUGCUUUGUUUUGAUCACCUUUUGUGCACGAAUCUCCCUUUCUGCGAGAUCUGAGUAGGAAAUCCGGGAAAGAUUUUACGGUAAUCUUU